rnacentral:rRNA from 1 species
UACGUAGGCAGCGAGCGUUGUUCGGAAUUACUGGGCGUAAAGAGUGUGUAGGCGGUGCUCUAAGUUCGGUGUGAAAUCUCCCGGCUUAACUGGGAGGGUGCGCCGGAAACUGGAGUGCUCGAGCGUGGGAGAGGAAAGCGGAAUUCCUGGUGUAGCGGUGAAAUGCGUAGAUAUCAGGUGGAACACCUGCGGUGUAGACGGCUUUCUGGACCAUUGCUGACGCUGAGACACGAAAGCGUGGGUAGCAAACAGG